AAAAAAAAAAAAAGUCUGGUACAGGCAGGAGGAGAGGAAGGGGGGCAGGGUUCUUAUAUUCUGGGUGGGAUUGAUCUUGUGACUUCAUCCUCUUCUUCUAGAAUGCGUUUAGGGCACAAUUCUUGCUUUUUAUAACUCUCACCAUUCCAUUUUUUUUCACUAAGUGGUUAUUAUAUAUUUGCCAAGUGCCUGACUCCCCGCUUGCCGUGGGGAUUCAGCAUCCAACAUGCAGCAAGGUUCUUGAAGGACAAUUCCCUUACCAUACAGGUUUCCAACAAGUUGCCGCUGGAUGAAGAACCUACACAUAGCUAUAAAGGAGCAAUGGUUCUCAAGUGGGGAGAGUGGGUAAAGAAGACGCUCUCCAGACCACCCAUCUAGGGUACUUUAGCAAACUACAGUUGACUCAGAGUUUGAGAAAAUCGCCCCAGAAACAUCUGAAGAACCCAUUAUAGAAAUUGUGACCAAGAGGAAAAAUGAUUUAAAAAAGUGAUAAAAAAUGCUUAAAAAGUUUUUGUU